rnacentral:rRNA from 1 species
GACGAACGCUGGCGGCGUGCUUAACACAUGCAAGUCGAACGGAAAGGCCCUGCUUUUGUGGGGUGCUCGAGUGGCGAACGGGUGAGUAACACGUGAGUAACCUGCCCUUGACUUUGGGAUAACUUCAGGAAACUGGGGCUAAUACCGGAUAGGAGCUCCUGCUGCAUGGUGGGGGUUGGAAAGUUUCGGCGGUUGGGGAUGGACUCGCGGCUUAUCAGCUUGUUGGUGGGGUAGUGGCUUACCAAGGCUUUGACGGGUAGCCGGCCUGAGAGGGUGACCGGCCACAUUGGGACUGAGAUACGGCCCAGACUCCUACGGGAGGCAGCAGUGGGGAAUAUUGCACAAUGGGCGGAAGCCUGAUGCAGCAACGCCGCGUGCGGGAUGACGGCCUUCGGGUUGUAAACCGCUUUCGCCUGUGACGAAGCGUGAGUGACGGUAAUGGGUAAAGAAGCACCGGCUAACUACGUGCCAGCAGCCGCGGUGAUACGUAGGGUGCGAGCGUUGUCCGGAUUUAUUGGGCGUAAAGGGCUCGUAGGUGGUUGAUCGCGUCGGAAGUGUAAUCUUGGGGCUUAACCCUGAGCGUGCUUUCGAUACGGGUUGACUUGAGGAAGGUAGGGGAGAAUGGAAUUCCUGGUGGAGCGGUGGAAUGCGCAGAUAUCAGGAGGAACACCAGUGGCGAAGGCGGUUCUCUGGGCCUUUCCUGACGCUGAGGAGCGAAAGCGUGGGGAGCGAACAGGCUUAGAUACCCUGGUAGUCCACGCUGUAAACGGUGGGUACUAGGUGUGGGGUCCAUUCCACGGGUUCCGUGCCGUAGCUAACGCUUUAAGUACCCCGCCUGGGGAGUACGGCCGCAAGGCUAAAACUCAAAGGAGUUGACGGGGCCCCGCACAAGCGGCGGAGCAUGCGGAUUAAUUCGAUGCAACGCGUAGAACCUUACCUGGGUUUGACAUGGAUCGGGAGUGCUCAGAGAUGGGUGUGCCUCUUUUGGGGUCGGUUCACAGGUGGUGCAUGGCUGUCGUCAGCUCGUGUCGUGAGAUGUUGGGUUAAGUCCCGCAACGAGCGCAACCCUUGUUCACUGUUGCCAGCACGUUAUGGUGGGGACUCAGUGGAGACCGCCGGGGUCAACUCGGAGGAAGGUGGGGAUGACGUCAAGUCAUCAUGCCCCUUAUGUCCAGGGCUUCACGCAUGCUACAAUGGCUGGUACAGAGAGUGGCGAGCCUGUGAGGGUGAGCGAAUCUCGGAAAGCCGGUCUCAGUUCGGAUUGGGGUCUGCAACUCGACCUCAUGAAGUCGGAGUCGCUAGUAAUCGCAGAUCAGCAACGCUGCGGUGAAUACGUUCCCGGGGCU